AUGAACUGGAGCAAGUCAAAAGUGCGCUUGGACUCUGCUGGUUGUGGUUCUAGUGGGCUGACCCUCCCAAGACUUGGUCCAGCAUGGAAACACCUUGUAGUGACGGCGACAAGGAUCACUGUCACGACGGUGACUAUUGGUGACCGUAAAAAGGCUAAAUUCUGGAAAUCUUCAUGGCUUCAUGGUCUCCGACCCAGAGAUGUCGCGCCCAAGAUAUUUGAGAUAUCUAAAAAGAAGGCGUGCCUGGUCAGCAAGGCUCUGGACAACAACUUCUGGAUCAGGCAGAUUGAUACUAGUAAGGGCCUCACCUUGAGUAUCCAGGAGUUCGCUGCCCUUUGGGAGAUGCUCCAUGAUGUUACUUUCAACUUGGACAGGAAGGACACAAUAUCUUGGAAAUUCACUUCUAGUGCACGACGAGGUGGGGAGAGGAGGAAGGAAGAAGCUUCCCGGAUCGCCAUCAGUCAAACGCCCACCGGAAAGGGAAAGCGGAGCUGCGGCCGCGACCAGUAA
rnacentral:rRNA from 1 species